CUGGUAUUGUGAGUCUAACAUUGUUUGAGCGUGAGGUGACAAAGCUUUUGAAGGUUAAUGCUAAUCAGCUUUUAGACAACAACAUUGAAUUAGCAAACGAAGGAAGCUUUCCAAAGGAGCUAAAUUCUUUACUCAAUAUGAAGUUUGCGUUCAAGAUUGUUGUUUCUUCUUUUAACAUCAGCAAGAAGUCUGAUGGCUACUCAGUCUCCAAGAUGACUGAUAACCCGGUUGUUUUGUCCGAGCUUGAUAAACAUUUUGACACUAUUCAGCCUAUUGAUGAGGAAGCCGUCAAUGUCGAACCAUCCGAUUCAAAUCGUAAUGAUGAUUUGC